rnacentral:lncRNA from 1 species
AAGAGGAAAAUCUAAAAAGAGGUGCAUUUAUACGAGUAUAUAAUAAACGAGGAAAGUCACGAGGGACAUCCUUCCUUUUUGUGCAAACGCCAAAGUAUAUAUGCAUGGUUUGAGCGCAUCUUUUAUGCCAUCAGCCAAAGGCAUCCUUUCUUUAAUUACAAAUUCUUCUUUGGUAGUUUUUCCUCUUCCUCUUAUCCAUUCUUGUUAUAUUCGUGUGUUGGUUUGAGAGGUUGAAGCUGCCAGCAUGAUCUGGUAAGACGACCAUAAUCCAUUUCCUUUCCUCAGAUCCCUUAUCCGUAGAGGUGAAUUCAGAAUUUAGCUAGAGUCAGUAAAUUUAAAAUGAGUUUAAUCUUAUAAUAUUAUAUAUAUGUAUGUAUUUUAAUUAUUUAUUAUAUAUAUAUAAUUCGAGUUGAAAACAAUAAAUUGAAUCAAGAGAAUUCGCCUUAGAUUUGGCCCCUCUUCCUUAAUUUCCUAAUAAAAGAAAACUAUAUUUACCAUUCAAGAAAAAUGAAACGUUGAGAUAUUUUCCUUUAUUGGGUUGGACGCUAGCUAGAUUUAGAUGUGUUUUGUAAAUUGUAGUACCUACUGGGGAUGGGGAUAAAAGGAUUUGGGCUUUCAUAUAUAGGUUUAGUUUCAUCAGGUCAUCUAGCAGCUUCAAUCACUCACCAACAAUACAAGAGAUAAAUGAGCUAGCUUGAUUUUUCAUCAAGGAUAAGUCAAUUCUAUUAUGUUCAAAAGUUUUCAUAUAUAUAUCUCAGGUACUUUUUGAUUUGUCUUUUAUUUAAUUUGUUCUACUCUUAGAUUCUUCAAUCCUGCAGCUAUGGGCCUCUGGUGUACUUUGAGAUUGCUAUAGAUGUGAAUCCACUCAUUAAAACCUAAAAGAACUUUUUUUUCUCUCCACAUUUUACAUUUGAUUAGUCUAAGGUUGAACUUCCAAGAAAGCCAAAUUUCUUUUUCUCCUGUUUCGUGAACUUCUCUGGGUUCACUUAAAAAUAACUGCAUAAAAUUAUGCAUAGUAAUAACCUGAAAAAAUAAGAUAAGUAACCGGCCAGUUUAAUUAGUAUAUGAUAGGUUCAGAUUCAUUAAUAGUAUAUAAAUUGUUUAUAUAUUUAGUAUUAUAUUAAUUAAAUCCUUUUAUUUUUAUUUUUAAAUUUGAGAAUUGAUAAGCUCGGCAUGAAAUGAUGAGAAGUCCGAGAUAUUAUCCUAAGAACCUCUGAGGUUAUCCUUAACCAAGUUGCACUUCUCAUCCUCUAAAUCUCAAAUAUAUCGUAUGUUUGCGUGUUUGUUUGUUUGUUUUUCCGUGCAGAUAAUAUCAAGAGUCAGCAAGUAAAACAAAUUUCCAGGACACGAGAAAGACAUACUUGGUAAUCAAUAUUUAGCUUGUAAUUUUGUAAGCUUAUGGUAGUAACGACAUGAUGACAAACUACGUAAUUAGUUUGUGGGAAAAUUGAGAAGCAUUUUGGUUACUUUUGUCUAUACUCUUUUAUUGCAUCUAACAACUACUCUUUCGUUUGUUACAGGUAUUCUUUUUUUAUUAAUUUGUUUUAAAN